CCUGGUGGUGGUGGAAGGCCGUCUUCCCCACCCGGCUGCCGCCGCCGCCGCCACCGCCCCCUCUACCCUUUCCCUACUCGCCUUCGCUGCACAACUGCAUUCCCCCAUUAGCCGUCGCCUUCUCACCGCGGUGCACCGCUGCGGUUGUUGCUGCCCCUCCCGUAGUGUAACCCUUCCACCCCCACACCCUCCCAAAGCAAAAGGAGAGUUGGCAUGGGGACGCGAUGCGACAGAAUAUGGCGCUAGCGGGGCAGUAGUAGGACCGGCGGCAUAGGGAGGAGACGGCCACCGGGAGUGGCGGCUUGUAAGAGGAGGAGACGGUGGCCGCGUUAGUGCAAGGGGUAGUACAGCACGAUGGCUCCAGUGAGUUUAUUUGGGGCUCCUCUGACAGUAGUGUCUGAUUGGGAAGACAAAUCGCAAUCCAACUUCAGCUGAUAAGGAAAUCAAAUUUGGUGCAAGAUGCAAUGCAAGUUGAAAAAUCAAUGGAUGACUUUGAUGUGGCAGAAAGGGAAACAAAGCAGAGGCUGCAACCCAUUUGCACAGAACAGCUCCAUUCAAAUGUAAUCUCCUGUCUUCAGAUAGAUGACAAAGAUGGGCUAUGUUCUUUCAUGCCUUCAAAGACUGCAUUGAUGAAAGAAUUUGAAGGUUUGCAUCUGUUAUAGUGCUUGCGAAGUUAACAUAUUUUCUAAGAGGUACCCUUGCUCUUCUAUUUUUCUAGGGCUGUUUAGUUUUACCCGUUGACCAUUGACUCCGCUGUUUGGGUAUAUGCUGUUAUAUUAGUUGAACUUGCCAACCAAUUCUUUCAGUGUUUGGAAAGUUGUUAAGUACCUUCUCCAUGAGUAAAGACUCUUGUAUCCACUUCUUCCUAAUCAGCCAUUGUCCAUUCAGUUAA